UACUUUUAUGAUUUCAGAAAGCUUACCUACUCUAAUUUUUGAAAGAUUUAUGAUGUUACAAUCAUUAAAAAGUAGUAUAAAGUUUUAAUUCACUUUAUAUAAUGCUACUGUGCAAUUGUAUUACUUUUUUGGAGAGGCAGUAGAAUUGUGGAGGGAGUAUAAGAAGGCUGGUGAAUAUUCUCAGAUUAUCUUCUACGGUCUUAAAGUCAAUGAAAGAAAUAGAUGAUGUUUGUUUUGUUUUGUUUUGGCUUUUUGGAGAAGCAGAUGCCUGCAAGAGAAUAAUAUACCCACCAGUUAGUCAGCUGCUUCAUCUGUCAUUUUUAUGAAGGGAUGUCAUGGUUGGACUGAGCAAAAUUGCCUGCAAAAAAACAUCUUGGAAAAAUAUCAGGAGAGAUUAAAGAAGAAAGAACAUAUACAGUCUCAAAUCACAUUAGUAGCCUAAAACAGUGCCCCUGAGUCACUUUCUUUAAAAAAUGAUUGAGUCAAAGUAGCAUUGAAGAGGACACAUUCCAAAUGUUAGCUAUUUACUUUUUUAAAGACUUGAUUAAUUAGUAAUUUACAAAGUAAGAUAGAAACACAAAGGAGGUAUUCAUGAAAAAAUGAUAUUCCUUCUUUCAGGAUUUAAUCAAACUCCUAAAAUUCCCAACGUUGAUCCCAGGAUUCUUGGCUAACAGCAUCAACUGCAAUGCUGAGGUUUAGGCUGGCUAUACUCUGAGGCUAGGGUUAGAGAGAAAUGAAUCUACUAAUACAUUAAGCCACUAUGUCAAUUUCUUACAACUUUGAAAAUAAAAUCUUUUUGAUCCUUUCUAAAGCAAAGUAAAUUUUGUCCCAGUCAUUUCAUCAUGCUGUUCUUCACAUCCCACCUCCCACCACCUUCCCUGUCUAGAAAGGGCCAUUGUCAAUGCUACAGCUUGGACUUUAGAGAUACAAAUUGAUUGGCAUGAUGUCAUUGAAAAAAUAAUUAAUACAGCCCAGAAUCAUGUAAUGAGAAUAAAAUGAAGGCUAGACUAGGAGGAAACAUUUCUUUUCAAAGUGAGAGAUUAACAGAGGUAUUUAGGGUUAGGGUUAGGGUAAAAUAGUUGCAUAAAUGAUCUUGGAAGAAAUUCUUAAAUUAUUUGAGAACACUGGAUAGCCACAGUAAUAACUCAUAUAAUGAAUGCAAGUGUUCAAUGUUUUGUGUAUCAUACAAUGCACAUUUUCUGUUUAAAAAAUUUAAGAGAAUUUUUUAAAUUACCAUAAAAUGAAGUUCAUGAAAUUUUAACUCAGUGAAUGAAUUGUAGAAAGUAUAUAGAAAAUAUACAAAUAAAGCUUUUCCAUGGUAAUUAACUACCAACAUCCAACUGUUUAAAAAUAUAAUCUUGAAACAAUGUGUUCUUGACAUGAAUACAUUAGUUGUAAAAUAUACUUCUUCCUUUGAAAGCCUAUUAGCAUUUUGGAGAGUUUUCCCACCUUUUGUUAAAUGAGGCUAUCAUUAAAUUUAAUUAAGGGUUAAGGGGUAGGGGAACAGAAGAUGAUUUUUAUUCCUGUGAUCUAUUUAGAGACAUCCCUUUGGCAUAAGAAAUUUUUUCUUGUUACAGUGGACACUAGAUAUUACCAAAAAACUUGGGCACUUCAACUGUUAGUAUGCAUGACUAAAAUUUUAAGGAGAUAUUGUAUAUGAUCAUAGUUUUUCCUCUGAGACCUUAAGCCAUUCUAUCAUGGUGAAUCUUUAAUGCUGACCCUUUACUUUUUCUUCAGAGAACUAUCACAUAUGAGACUUUAUAAUUCAGUACUAAUUCAUUUUUCACAUCAUUAAUGGCUGAAUUUUCUUUUGUUAUGUCUGAUGUAUGGCUUACAACAUACUGCCUUUUUAAAAAGAUUGUAACCUUGACUUAAUGAAGCAUUUUGUACCUUAGGGUUGCUUUCAUUUUUGUUUUGUUUUAAACCCUUACCUUCUGUUCUAGAAUCUGUAUUGGUUCCAAGGCAGAAAAGAAGUAAGAACUAAGCAGUGACUUUCCCAGGGUCACACAGCUAGGAAGUGUCUGAGAUCACAUUUGAACCCAGGACCUUCCAUCUCUAGGCCUGACUCUAAAACUACAGAACCACUUUGGUGCCCCGUACCUUAGUUUUUAAAAGUUGAUACACUGCUUACAUCACAGGAUUUAUGUCUGCAAAACAAAAUGCUACAUGUAUUUUCUAAGAUAAUGUUAAAGACAUUACACAUCAGUUUUCUUCUUCAGUUAUUUCAGUUAUAUCUUCUUCUCCAUGACCCAAUUUUGCGAUUUUCUUGGCAAGGAUACUAAAGCAGUUUGCCAUUUUCUUUUCCAGCUCAUUUUUUCAGAUGAGGAGCUGAGGCAAACAGUGUUAAGUGACUUUUCCAAGGUCACAUAUAUUUGAACUUGGGAUGAUGAGUCUUCCUGAGUCCAAGCCUAGUGCUAUGUCCACUGCAAUACCAAAUUGCCCAUAACAAGUUUCUCCUUCACAUCAAUCAUUUUAAAGCAUCAUACAUUAAGAGAUGAGGAAAUGCUUCCAAAAAUUGUUACUUUAAUGCCUUAGUUUGUUUUUAUUUUCAUGACUAUGUCUUCAUAUAUUCCAUUGUAAUUCAAGGCCUUAUUACAUCUCAUGUUGACCAUUGCAAUAACCUCUAAAUUGGUUUAACUAAAUCCAGUGUUCCUGGAAUCUAUUCCUUCUUCAAAGCAGUCAGAUUGAUUUUUCCAAACUACAGAUCUGAUCAUGUGGCCUUCCCUGUAUCAUUUCUCAAUUCUCACCUUUAUUAAGCAAACUCCAGUGCCUACAUCUAAUAUCAGAUAUAAAUUAAGGAGUUUGAACUGUCUCCAAUGCUUGUAAUAUGCCCCAUCUUUAGAAAGGAAUCUUUGUUUUCUUUUACUCCUCAGCUUUUGUUGCCUACUACACAAGGCUUUUCUUGAUCCUUUGUAUGAGUGACUCAUUUUUCUACAUGACUUUUUUCUGAAAAGAUAGAAUUUUCUUAAGGAGUUCUUUGCCAGAUAAAUUUUCAAAUGUAUUCAACAAACUUUUAUUAGGUACCUGUUCUGAGAUCAUGUGAUAGAGUGUAUGUUAAGAAUUUGAGAAUUUUAAGAUUAAAUAAAUGUUAUUCAUUAUUA